CGGCAUAGAUGCUAACUAUAACCAGGUUCAAAACCUGGCAAACCCGAAAAAUGAAUCCGAUCCAUUGCUAGUAGAAUGGGUCAAAUACUCUAGAAACCCUCUAAUGACUCCACCGGAUGGUGUUAAAGGAGAUAACUUUAGAGAUCCAACAACUGCUUGGCAGGGCCCUGAUGGAACCUGGAAAGUAGUCAUUGGAAGCUAUAGCAAUAGCCAGGGCAUGGCUAUACUCUACCAAAGUCAAGAUUUUGUUCAUUGGACUAUGCAUCGAGAUCCUCUUUAUUCGUCGUCGAAAACCGAGAUGUGGGAGUGUCCAGAUUUCUUUCCUGUGUCGAUUAACAGCACCAAUGGGGUCGACACCUCUGUUGAAAACCCAAGUGUUAGGCAUGUCAUGAAGGCAAGUUUCAAUUCCCAUGAUUACUAUAUAGUAGGGACUUACGUUACUGAGCAGGAAAGGUUCCUUCCAGAUGCUGACUUUACCGGAACCAGUUCAGACUUGAGAUUUGAUUACGGUAAAUUCUACGCCUCAAAGUCGUUCUUUGAUGGUAAGAAGAACCGAAGGAUACUAUGCGCUUGGGUAAAUGAAUCCGAUAGUAUGGAAGAUGAUCUAAAGAAAGGAUGGUCUGGACUUCAGGUGAUUUACAUUACAUAUUUAUUGAUGCUGCAUGAUGUAUUAGAAUCACAUUGAUCCUCAAUAUCAAUGGUUUAUGGAUAAUCCUUUGCAGUCGAUUCCGAGGCAGAUUUGGCUUGACCUAAAUGGCAAGCAACUAGUGCAGUGGCCAGUUGAAGAACUCAAUAGUCUACGUGACAAUGAAGUCUAUGUUUAUGACAAGCAGCUCGAAAGCGGGUCGGUUUUUGAAGUUUCGGGCAUCACUGCUUCACAGGUGAGUCCUCUGUCGUUGCAUAUUAAUUUCCCAUUUGUAUUUGAAGUAAUUGCAUUGUCAUGAACAAUUUUCUUACUAUGUUGGAAGGCCGAUAUCGAAAUAAUGUUUGAAUUGCCCAAACUAGAAGAGGCCGAGUUCAUAGACACCAGUUUGGUUGAUCCCCAACUAAUCUGUGACAAACAAGAUGCAUCUGUGACCGGAAAAUUCGGACCAUUCGGUUUAUUAGCUUUGGCAACAAAGGACUUGACCGAACAAACUGCGAUUUUCUUUCGGGUUUUCCGAGACCAUAAAGACUAUAAAGUACUCAUGUGCAGUGACCAAAAGAGGUUAGUCACCACUUUUGUCCAUAACUAUCCACAAUUUAAGCAAUAAGUCAUCCACAUUCAUUUGAUUCAAUGUCAAAAAACAUGUUGCUCAACAGGUCUUCUUUACGGAACGAGUUAGAUAAAACCACAUACGGAGCCUUCGUAGACAUCGAUCCUCAGCGGGAAAUGGUUUCACUAAGGACCUUGGUGCGUUGAUUUGUGUUCACCCUGGUGGCCUUUUCGGUAUAUUUUGAUUUUGGUUUCUACCAUUUUUACAUUUCUUGGUUCACCUUUUUGCAGAUAGACCAUUCCAUAAUUGAGAGUUUUGGUGGAAAAGGAAGAAGUGUUAUCACCACAAGAGUUUAUCCAAAGCUUGCUAUUAAUGAUGAAGCCCAUCUUUUUGCAUUCAACAAUGGAAGUCUCAGUGUAAGAGUUUCAAGGUUGAAUGCAUGGAGUAUGAAUAAAGCCCAGAUAACUGCAGGGGGGGAACCCGGAACUAUAUCCGAGGAUUUCUCGAGGAAGAAGUAAAGAACAUGACCCAUUGUUCAGGUCCGUAGACACUCGAUUUUGUCCGGAUCAUUUUUACAAUAAAACAGGCCCUUUAGGUGUUUAUUGGGUAUUAAAAUUAGGAUUUUUAAUUAGGUUUGUCUACUUGGAUUUUGAAUCCAAUUCAUUAUGGCUCGAUUUAUUAUUAUUAUUAUUAUAUACUUUUUAAUGCUUCGGAAAAUUCAAUUCAGUUUAAAUUUCUUAAAAAGAUCAUGUGAAAUUUAAAAGUCAAAUCCUAAUUUAUAUAAAAUAAUUAAAUAUUAUUAUAUAAUACCAUAAAUUUAAGGUAAAAGAAGUUAUAAUUUUUUUGUUAAUUGAAAAAAUAUUGAUAGGUAAAAGAUUACUUACUUAGAAAUUUGAAGUAUUUGCAUGUGAAAUUAUAUAUUUGUUUUAUAAUUUUGUAAUAUUAUAAUAAUAUUUUGUUUUAAAAAUUUAAUUACUAUAACUUAAAAAUAUUGUAAUGGUAAUAUAUCAUAAUUGUUCUGCUUGAUGUUUUUAAAACAUUUUAUUUAUAAUUAGAUUGAUAAUAUUAAAAAUAUUUGGGGAAAAACCUUUAUGAAGAUAAAUUUUUUUAAACAUAUUAAAUUUAGAAUAAUGUAAUAAUACAAUGAUUCAAAUAAUUAGAAGCAAAGCAAACCUAAUAUGGGAGAGUCAGACAACAAAAUGUUGAUGUCAUUGAACCAAAAUGUAAAUUAGCAGAGACGUCAAUUAGAAGCAUGCUUGAAAAGCUAAUAUCAAGCCAAAUUUUAUGAUACAUGCUUCAAUGGGGCCUGCUAAACACAGUCUGCACAAAGUACAGCCUAUAGUUUGCUCAAUCAGCCACUGACAAAUGUCAACUCAAGCUCGAACUCCAAAAACAUAUGGACUUGUACACAGUCAACACAGUACCUUUGACAUGUGGGAUUCCAAAAUCUGCCUCCGGCCUUCAACAUCUGGAUAAAGAAUAAUGAUUGCGGCGGUCAAAUCGUCCAGGUCUAAUCAGUGCCUUAUCCAAUGAUUCUGGAAAAUUGGUGGCUGCAAUUAGAAUGAUUCCUUCAUUCUGUUUAAAUCCAUUCAAUUCGACAAGCAACUGAUUCAAAGUCAUCCUCAUGUACUGCUGGUCCUUUGGAUUACGGCUUCCACCUAUGGCAUCUAUCUCAUCAAUAAAUAUAAUACAUGGGGAUCGCUUCUUUGCAGCAGCAAAAAGAUCUCUCACUCUUCGAGCUCCAACUCCAACAAACAUCUCUUCAAACUCACUGCCGCUGCAGGAGAAGAAAGGUACACUAGCCUCUCCAGCAAUAGCUCUUGCUAACAUAGUUUUCCCAUUGCCAGGUGGACUAACAAGUAAGACACCUUUUGGAAGCUUGCCACCAAGACGAGUGAAACGCUGCAAGAAGGGUAAAGGUAAUUAGAGACAGAGAGUGAGGGAGGGAGAGGGAGACAUCUACCAAAUCAAAAAGUGCAUUCACCUUAGGAUCUCGAAGGUAGUGGACAAUCUCUUCUAACUCUGCCUUUGCCUCAUCAACUCCUUUGACAUCAUUAAAUUUUGUGUUAGAUUCUACAACUUGCACCUCUUCGUGUAGACCAAGUCCUAAAACAAGGAUACCAGUCAGACAGAAUUCAGGAAAAGGACUAUCAGUUAAAAGAUGGACAAAUAAUUUAGAAGAAAACUUGUCACUUAAAACAUUCCGCCUUUACUAAUCCCUCUAUCCUCAAUAAGUGCUCCAACACUAGAAAUCAACAAGAAGCCAAGUGCAAUACUACGAAAAGUACGCCACAAUUGAUCUUUAAAACUCCCUCCUUCUGCAGUCACCAUGUGGAUAGGAGCACUAGCAGUUCCUAAGACACCGUGUUUUGUCGAUUUUCCCACAUUUUGAAAAGCUGAAAGGCCACUUUUACUCUCUUCCUCCACUGCUGAACUGGAGAUACCUGUAAUUUUGCAUAAUCUAUUAGCCAACAAAGAUAAUACAAAAGGCAAAGAGCAGAAGUUGUUCAGAAAGAAAUGGUUAAUAAUAGUUUAACACGGAAUUUAUUAGCACUAUCAAAUUAGGAACAACAUUCAAAGAUAAGUACAGAAAAAUGGAGAAAAUUUACUGCAAAAUUAUCAUUUUAAGAGAAAUUAUAGAUGCAAGAUAGCAAGACCACUCACCUCUCUGCAAAGUCUUAAGUAACUCGCUUUCAUCAAGCCUGUCGACUUUGACUAAUGCUUUAACAUAUUCAGAAGGUGCAGAAGGAUUAGAAUGUAAUGAUGGCUGACUUUCAAAUAGUCUUAUCACUGCUUUAGGAUCAUUUCCAUGGUGAAUUUCUCUUAAACUAGCAGCUUCACUAGCUUCAUCAGCAUCUCGGAGUCUGCGACCUAAAUUGACUGCAUAGCUUGACCUAAACCUAUUUUGGCCACUCAAAAACCUAUUACCUGCACUCCAACAAGAUUUCAGCUUAGGCAAUAAAGUUUUAAGUUGAGAACACAGAUCUUAUUGAAAAAAUAAAGAAGAAUAAAACCAUGAAGAUAAUGAUAGAAUAUAAAAAGUUCGAUUGAAACAAACAAAAAUACCAGGGAGAUGAGCUUUACUAAACAAGUACUGUCCCAACUGUGAUUGCUAACUUCUCUGAAAUAUCUGAAAUAUCCUCUCUCCAAACUGAAAUAUCUGGAAAUUGAUAAGGUCAAAGAUCUACAUUCUCUACAAGAGGAGUUUCUGCAAAACCGAGCUUCUCUUCAGAGACUGAUGAUUCUAGAAUGCAUUAAGUUUACAUCAAUGCCAGAGGGGAUGCGUCGUUUCACCUCUUUGACGUUCUUGAAAAUUAUUAAUUGUCCCCAAUUAUCGAAAAGAUGCCAAAUGGAUACUGGUUUGGACUGUCCUAAUAUUGCUCACAUUGAACGCAUUUGGAUUGAAGAUGGAGGCAUUGUGGAAACUGGCAGGGGUUUUUGAGGUACAAACUAAAAUUCAAUCUUCCUUUUACCAAAAUUUAUACCAAUUCAUAUAUAAAAUUGUCCUUACCUACCAAAAAUAUAGUAAUCAUUUAGAAUAAUAAGUGGAGCUCAUCUCACACUUUCUUACAGUACUGACCACUGGAAUGCUAUUAUGUGAUAUUGUUGAUUUAGGUGAUUUUAUUUAUUUUUCUCUUUCCUAAUACUUCAUUUUCAAUCGUUUUUCAGAGUGAAGAGGCACAAAACUGUGGUGCUAUAUGCAAAGGCAUGGAGUUGAGCGAUGUUGGUGUUUCUAGGCUUGGUGGUGAUACUGUUUCUCCAUUCUUUAUUAUGCUUUGUUGUAUUCCUUUUGGUGUGUUUUAGACUUUAACUUUGGACUUGUUUUUGUUGUUGUUGGGUGGUUUCUUCUGAUCUGCUCCUUUGUUUCUACUUUCUUUUGCCUUUGGACUAUGCUGUCUUUUGUUCCACGGCAUCUCUAUACUUAUGCUUAGCUAAAAAUGUAUGUUUGUACACCUCUGUACUUAUGCUUAGCUAAAGAAAUAUGUAUGUAUGUGUAUGUAUGCAGGUGUGAACCCCUAAAAUAUAUUUAUUUAUUUAAACCCUUUAUAAUUUAUAAAAUUUUAAAUUAUUAAUGAUAAAAUUAUAUUUUAACGUAAAAAAUGAUAAAAAUUUAUAAUUUAAUUUUGUCUCAAGUUUAAAAACAUAUUAAUGUUUGGAUGUGAUCUAUAAAAUAAUCAAAACCUUGAAAGACAAAAGGCAAAAUGAUUGUGCUCUCAAUUGACACUAGCUCACACGAAUCAAGGUUUUGUCUUUAUAUAACAUAAUCAAACGCGCCAUAGCAAAUCAACUCCCCUUUUCGUCAUUGGAUCAGUGAGAAUUUAUAUAGAGAAGAUGAGUAGGCAAUGUUGGAGCUUAGCGAGCAGGACGUUUUGCGAUAUACGAAUCCUAGCAUCGAUCUUCUGAAAAAAAAACAAACAUUUUAGUUUUUCUACUUGAAUUUUAAAUCCAAUCCAAUUCAUUAAGGCUCGAUUUAUUAUUAUACUUUUUUAUGCUUUGGAAAAUUCGAUUGGACCAAGCUGUGGUUCAGAUGUGGACCAAGUCAUCCACAUGGUUGAACCCACUUGGACUCUUUGUCUUUCUAUAUACAGUCUCAUCGCCAUGAAGGCAAAGGCAUAUUAAUGAGAACUAAGACUGGAGAGCUUUUAUUAAUUUCAAUUUCUAACUCAAUUUAAUAAUAAAAAAUCAAUAAUUCCAACCUAUUUUAUUUAAACUAAAAAGCAUUAGAAUUCAGAUCAACUCUGAGAUACUUUGAAUUGAAAAAAAUCAAUUCAAAAACAUAAAUGAUAAUAACCGAAUUGAUUUAAAUAUAUUAAUACUCAAAUUGAUUCAACUCGAUUUCAUGACAAAAUAAGGUUUAUAGAUCAUUUUCUUAAUUUAACUGGGUCUUUAAGUCGAUUUUAACUUUAAUUAGAAAAAUAAGUCGGUUUUAUGGAAAACGCAUCCAAUUGGUGCGCUUUAUGCACAGAUGACAGUAAAACGCACCUAACUGGUUGCGCUUUUCUUUUCUCUCUCCAGAAUUAGAGUUUUUAUUUGUUUAUUAAAGGUUAGGGUUUUGAUUUGAUUGGGGAUUGAGUUUAAGGUUUUUGAGGGUUUAGAUUUUUUUAAAAGUGUUAAGGGUUUUUGACUCAAACGACAGAAGUUCUUUAAGUAAUUUUAAGGAGUCGGGGAUGUGAUAAUGUGCCUCAGCACACAUACAAUUCAUAUGUCAUGGCGGGAUAAGAUCAUCAUCCUAGAAACCCGUCGUCGAAAAAUCUAGUUUUGGGAUAAUAAUGCUUGAUACGAUCAAGGGUCGAUGUCUACGUGAAUGUGUCAGUUGGCAGUCGUGAUACGAUCAUAGGUUCGAGUAUAACAGGGGACCAGUUGGGCGCGCUUUCCAUAAAAUCAACCUAUUUCCCUUAUUAAAGUUAAAAUUGGCCUAAAGGCCUAAUUAGAAUUAAAAAAUGGCCUAUAGGCCUUAUUUUGCCCAAAUCCAUCAAACCUAAUUAAUUCGCUUCACAGAUCUAAUUGAAAUUGAAUUUCAGAAUUUAGUUUAUCAUCAUAUAAAAUCAACAAGUGUUGAAUGCGGUGAUAAUAUAUAUUGUACUCUCUAGAAGAUAUCAUAAUUUCAAACUUUAAAACAACAUUGUUAGGAGAAAUAAUACAUGAUAUUCAGAAUCAUGAAUAAAGCUGAAAUGUAGAUAUGUUAAACAUUCAUAGAGUAAUAAAAAUACAACAAGUGUUGAGUGCAAUGGUAAAGUAGUAGUCUUUCUACGGAUAGAGUCUUAAUUCAAUUGGCAUCGGUAUUGUUGUCAGUGCAGGAGGAUGUGCGUUAAAGUAUAUUAUCCUCUUAUUUAAGAUAUAAGAAUACGCUAUGAAUAAUUCUAGAUAUUAUAUUAAAAAAAUAGCUGUCUUUAAGGUUAUUUUUUAAUUUUAAUUAAACAAAAAAAGUUAGCCACACGCAAUUCAAGCUGACCGCAGCAAUGAUGAAGUUCAUGUUGCAAAAGGGAGGUCAUCACAUAACUCUUACUCCUCAACAAUUCUUUCGUUUUACAAGUCUUAGUUUAAGAUUAUAUUUUAAUUAUUGCAAAUUAAGACUUAUUUCUUUUAAUCAUGGCGUAAAUUCUUAUGGGUUAUUGUCCUUGCAUGGUCUUUUCUUAUACAUAAAUGUUUUACAAGUCUUAGUUUAAGAUUAUAUUUUAAUCUUAGUUAAACAAGAAAUUAGCCAGACGCAAGCAAUAAUGAAGUUCAUGUUGUAAAGGAAAUCCAUCAGAUAUCUCUUACAGCUCACCACUUGUUUCUUUCUUUCUUUUUUUAAUUAUAGCAAAUUAAGAAUUAUUUCUUUUAACCAUGGUGUAAAUUCUUACAAUUCAUGGGUUAUUGUCCUUGCGUGGUCUUUAUAUAUAUAUAUAUAUAAACGUUUUACAAAUCCCAUUGGUUCAUCUCAGCCAUCUUUUGAGCCAACAAAAUGGAUAUCUCUCUGUUUCUGUUUGUUGGGUUUUCUUGUUUUCUGCUAAUCAAUGGGAAUAAAGUGGAAGACUGUGAUUAUCUGACAGACAAGACAAGUUUUCAAUCUUUCCAGGUUUUAUUGCAAGCAGAACAGCCUUAUAGAACAGCUUAUCACUUCCAGUCUCCUCGAAACUGGAUGAAUGGUAAGAAACUAAUCUUGUUCUUGCAACUUCAUGUUUAAAAAAAAAUAUAUAAAAAAAUCCCAAUUCUCUGCAUUGAUGUGUUUGUUUGGUGUUAAUUGGUUCAACUGAUCCUUCAAUGAUGGGAUGAUGAAAAUGUGUGACAUUCACUAUACAGAUCCUAACGGUAAGAAACCAAUUUCCUUUUGGUUUCAGCUUCUCCUUUUGUACUUUAGAUGUAUAUUGCUCGGAUUUAGAAAAAUCAUAUCCUCGUACUCAUGUCUAUGUGUAUCAUGGAUUCGAGGAUGAGUGUUGAAUAAUAGUAUAAAUUUUUUUGAAAUUUUUUCAUAUAUUGGGAAGGUCAUGCUCUAUUUCGUCAUGCUCUAUUUCAUGCUCGAGCAUGGGUCGGACUAGGUAUCGGGCACGGGUAUUUUAAGAAAAAUGAAAAGUCCAGAUAUAGCAUGUUAAAUCUGACAACACUUUAUUGUUCAUCUAUGCAUGUAGGGCCAAUGCAAUACAAGGGAGUCUACCACUUAUUCUACCAAUACAAUCCAAAUAGUGCAUGGUUUGGUGAUGGUAUGGUUUGGGCACAUUCUGCAUCAUAUGAUCUUAUUAACUGGUUCGGUCUUGAUCAUGCACUUGUUCCAUCCGAGCCAUUUGAUGCCAUAAGUUGCAUUUCCGGUUCGGCAACGAUCCUUCCAGGGGAUAAACCGGUCAUUUUAUACACCGGUGUAGAUGCUAACUAUAACCAGGUUCAAAACCUGGCAACCCCGAAAAACGAAUCCGAUCCAUUGCUAGUUGAAUGGGUCAAAUACUCCGGAAACCCUCUAAUGACUCCACCGGAUGGUGUUAAUGGAGAUAACUUUAGAGAUCCAACAACUGCUUGGCAGGGCCCUGAUGGAACCUGGAAAGUAGUCAUUGGAAGCUAUAGCAAUAACCAGGGCAUGGCUAUACUCUACAAAAGUCAAGAUUUUAUUCAUUGGACUAUGCAUCAAGAUCCCUUUUAUUCUUCGUCGAAAACCGAGAUGUGGGAGUGUCCAGACUUCUUUCC
rnacentral:lncRNA from 1 species